rnacentral:rRNA from 1 species
CCGGCGACCGGCGCACGGGUGAGUAACACGUAUGCAACCUGCCCGUCUCAGGGGGAUAAUCGUCGGAAACGGCGUCUAAUACCCCGUAUGAAGCUGGACGGCAUCGUCUGGUUUUGAAAGAAUAUCGGAGACGGAUGGGCAUGCGGCGCAUUAGCUAGUUGGCGGGGUAACGGCCCACCAAGGCGACGAUGCGUAGGGGUUGUGAGAGGAAGGUCCCCCACACUGGUACUGAGACACGGACCAGACUCCUACGGAAGGCAGCAG